GCGCCCGUCUUUCCCUAUGGCCGGCAGGCUCCCAUAGCAACCGUAAAUCCCGUCGCCGGCAGGCCCUGCGCCCCCAAGCGCCGCCGUCCAUGUGCCCGUCCCAGCCAACCUGUUGUUGUCGUUCUGCCAGGCUCAGCCUCCGGCCGCCGCGGUGGAGGAUCCCUGCGCCUCCUAGGCUCCCAUGUCGCACCCUCGAGAUUCGGCGCCUCCUGCGCCCCAAGUUCCAAGCCCCAGCAAGCCACACGGUUGGACUCCCAAGAGUACUUGCUUGAUCUGAAACCGCACUAGAAAGCAGAUGUAAGUCAAGCACUCAAGUUGCAGGACGGCGCUGCACCAAAGCUAGCUCUUUCUGUCUGAAGGUGUUGGAGAAGAUGGAGUACAGGUUCCUAACGCUGGCCAUGUUAACCAGAGACUCGCCGCGCUGCCCAUCCUCUGCGCCAGCGCGCCAUCCGAUUCCGCAUCACGUGGCUGAACUUCCUCUAUACUGUGAUGCUAGUCUCUUCUUUCAGGUGUUCGUUUCUUGUCAUCUUUUACCUGAAUUUCUGCUUGGCACUGACAUGAGUUUCUGAUAAGCAUCGGUUUGUACUUCCCUGUGAUAGACAUCGGAUAAGGGAUAGCAUCACAUGUGCCCUGAGAGGAAGUUAACUCAUGCUGCCUCAAGCACAAGUGCAUCGAGACCGACAGUAGUCAGUAGAUACUUCUCGUCAUGGUGCAGUUCACCAAAGAUGUCAGAUUAUGCUUUGAAGAGGUGUUGUGCAUCACCACUACAAUCUUCUCAGUAGGGUGAUCUAUUUUAAUUUUUCUAUUAGUAUAUUGCAUAUGCUAUACAUUAUAAUCUAACAAAUGCUCCAUUACUUUUUGAGCUCAUGGAGGAUUAUUCAGUGUAUGCUGAAACUGACGAGGAUCCAACUGAUGAAGAAAGAGAGGAAGUAACCAAGUCAUCCAGGAACUUUCCUAGCGGGGUUUAUUUCUACUGUUGUAGCGAACAUUUGAAUGCAGUUGCUUCUUAAAACCACUGCGAGUAUACUCUGUCAUGCCAUACGCGAACCAAGAAGGCCAAUUUAUAGUGUGACUCAUUUUAAAAGCUUGUGCAUCUCCACUAAUUUUUUUUUCUUGUGCAUCAGUAUGCCGAACAGUUUCUAGAUUCUAAAUGUUUUAUGCAUUAACCGAUUCAUUGCAGAUUGAAACUAGCUCCAUUUACAAGCACUCCACCAAGUCCGAUGAGGAGUACCUCGGUGACCUGGCCAUGUAGAACGUGAUGGAGAACGUCAACUGCUCUGACCAUAACGAAGCAGGCCAUGGGGUCCGGCACCAGGAGCUUGCUAGCCCUGACUGUGCCCUCGCCGCCCGGACGAUCAGUCGCCAGCGCUGCCGCCGGACAACAUCGAGUCGCCUCGUCGCCAACUGCUGCCGCGGUACGGCUGGACAAGAAGUACAGGUCGCGGAGACGGGCAAUACACUGCCUCAGUGUGUUCCGUGGUGCCUGUUCGUGGUGCCAGUUCUAGCGUCCUGUUUCUUCGAGUAUUCCUUUUAACAAAUGUACAAUGGGUGUACUGAUCCAUGUUUUUUUUUCCUUUGUUCUUGCUUUUGUUGCCGUUCUCCUUUUUUGUUAAUAUGAAAUGAGAUUGCAGUUGA